UAAUUGCGCGUCAACUUGUGAACUGCAGGACACAUGAACAUCGACAUUUCGAACGCACAUUGCGGUCCUGGGAUCUCAUACCCGGACCACUCCUGGCUGAGGGUCGUAUCUCAUUUCAAGACUGCUCGGAUUUUCUUUGAUCUUCGCGAUCGACGAGAAAUGUCUGAGCGUGCUGAGCGUAUAAGCGCGAUUCGAUCGCGACGUUCUAAAACGUGACAGCGGACCCGUACGUGUGACCUAACUCUCUCGUACGGGUCGUACGAAUAUGAAAGGGAUGAGACGUGUUUAAAACGGUCGUUCGCACGUUUUUGUGAUAAACGUAGCGCGCACCAUUAAUACGAUCGUCGUAUCCGAUAAAAUUAGUUUUUAAUCGACGUCGGAUCGUAGGUGCGUUGUCUCUCGAAUACGAGGGAGAAAACACCGUUUUUCGACGGCGCGUCUUUUCCAUUCUAAACUUUUAUAUUUCGUAUUGGCUCCUAAUCUUCAUUAUUAUGAUGAUUACGAGCGCCACGCAUAUUAAACUAGCGACCUCAGAGCAGGUGAGACUA
rnacentral:rRNA from 1 species